rnacentral:rRNA from 1 species
GACAGAGGGUGCAAACGUUGUUCGGAAUUACUGGGCGUAAAGCGCGUGUAGGCGGCCAAGCAAGUCGGGUGUGAAAGCCCUCGGCUCAACCGAGGAAGUGCACUCGAAACUGCUUGGCUUGAGUCCCGGAGAGGAUAGUGGAAUUCUCGGUGUAGAGGUGAAAUUCGUAGAUAUCGAGAGGAACACCGGUGGCGAAGGCGGCUAUCUGGACGGUGACUGACGCUGAGACGCGAAAGCGUGGGGAGCAAACAGG